rnacentral:lncRNA from 1 species
AUCACAAAGCUUGGACAUCUUGGUUUGUUGCAUCUCAUCUCCAUAAUUAAUUUUAAGGGCACUUAACCCAUUAAUCAGAUAAGGUGGGGACUCGAUCAUCUUUUCUUAGCCCAAAAAUCACAUCCUUCAUCUUGCAUAACCAAGAUCUUUAAUUUAAAAUUAAUUAGAUGUUGACCACUAAGGUGUUCGAGCAUACUAGGAUAAGACAUCCGAAAGAGUUGAACCGGGUCA